CCGAGAAUCUUGGUCAAUGGGCGAAAGCCUGAACCAGCGACACUGCGUACGGGAAGAAGGUCUUCGGAUUGUAAACCGUUUUUAUAGGGGAAGAAGUUUUCUGACGGUACCCUAAGAAUAAGAGGUUGCUAACUCUGUGCCAGCAGCAGCGGUAAUACAGAGACCUCGAGCGUUAUCCGGAUUUAUUGGGCGUAAAGGGUGCGUAGGAGGUUGAAGAAGUCUUCGGUCAAAUAUCCAGAGCUUAACUUUGGAAAUGCCGGGGAAACCAUUCAACUUGAGGAUGCUAGAGGCUAACGGAACUAUCAGUGUAGGGGUGAAAUCCGUUGAUAUUGAUGGGACCACCAAAAGCGAAGGCAGUUAGCUGGGGCAAUCCUGACUCUGAGGCACGAAAGCGUGGGGAGCAAAAAGG
rnacentral:rRNA from 1 species